GGCUCAGGAUUAACGCUGGCGGCGUGCCUGACACAUGCAAGUCGAACGGGUGUUAGCUGCCCGCAAGGGUGGCUAGCGCUAGUGGCGGACGGGUGAGUAACACGUGGGCAACCUGCCUGAGAGUGCAGAAUAACCCUGCGAAAGCAGAGCUAAUACUGCAUAUGGUUGUCGGAUGGCAUCAUUUGACAACUAAAGUCGCAAGACGCUCUCAGAUGGGCCCGCGGCCUAUUAGCUAGUUGGUGAGGUAACGGCCCACCAAGGCUUUGAUGGGUAGCUGGUCUGAGAGGACGGACAGCCACACUGGGACUGAGACACGGCCCAGACUCCGUACGGGAGGCAGCAGUGAGGUAAUUUUCCGACAAGUGGGCGAAAGCCUGACGGAGCAACGCCGCGUGAGGGAUGAAGUCUCUAGGGAUGUAAACCUCUGUUGGGUGGGACGAAGAUCUGACGGUACCACCUGAGGAAGCCCCGGCUAACUACGUG
rnacentral:rRNA from 1 species